rnacentral:rRNA from 1 species
GAUGAACGCUGGCGGCGUGCCUAAUACAUGCAAGUCGAGCGGUAAGGUUCUGCACUCAGUAUUUGACCUGAUAUUUAUCAGAAAAAUCAUCUUCAUGGCUGAAGAGGGUUGUCGAAUUAUGAGUGUAGAAUACACGAGCGGCGGACGGCUGAGUAACGCGUAGGAAUGUACCCCAAAGUGAGGAAUAACUGCCCGAAAGGGUGGCUAAUGCCGCAUGUGAUCUACGGAUUAAAGGAUUUAUCCGCUUUGGGAGCAGCCUGCGUAAGAUUAGCUUGUUGGUGAGGUAAAAGCUCACCAAGGCGACGAUCUUUAGCUGGUCUGAGAGGAUGUCCAGCCAGACUGGGACUGAGACACGGCCCAGACUCCUACGGGAGGCAGCAGUAGGGAAUUUUCCACAAUGGACGAAAGUCUGAUGGAGCAACGCCGCGUGCAGGAUGACAGCCUUCGGGUUGUAAACUGCUUUUGUGGGUGAAGAUUUAAGACAGUAACUCAAGAAUAAGGGUCGGCUAACUACGUGCCAGCAGCCGCGGUCAUACGUAGGACCCAAGCGUUAUCCGGAAUUACUGGGCGUAAAGAGUUGCGUAGGUGGUUUACUAAGCAGAAUAUGAAAGCGUACGGCUCAACCGUAUAUCCGUAUUCUGAACUGAUAAACUAGAGGGCGAGAGAGGUUAUUGGAAUUUCUUGUGUAGGAGUGAAAUCCGUAGAUAUAAGAAGGACACCGAUGGCGUAGGCAGGUAACUGGCUCGCACCUGACACUAAGGCACGAAAGCGUGGGGAGCGAACGGGAUUAGGUACCCCGGUAGUCCACGCUGUAAACUAUGGAUGCUAGCUGUUGGUCGUAUCGACCCGAUCAGUAGCGAAGCUAACGCGUUAAGCAUCCCGCCUGUGGAGUACGAGCGCAAGCUUAAAACAUAAAGGAAUUGACGGGGACCCGCACAAGCGGUGGAGCGUGUUGUUUAAUUCGAUGGUAAGCGAAGAACCUUACCCAGGCUUGACAUCCUUGAAAGGACUACGAAAGUAGACUGUGCCUUUUGGAAUCAAGUGACAGGUGUUGCAUGGCCGUCGUCAGCUCGUGUCGUGAGAUGUUUGGUUAAGUCCAUCAACGAGCGCAACCCUUGUAGUUAGUUGAAUUUUUCUAGCUAGACUGCCCUGGUAACAGGGAGGAAGGAGGGGAUGAUGUCAGGUCAGUAUUACCCUUAUGCCUGGGGCUACAAACACGCUACAAUGGCCGGUACAAAGGGCAGCUAACCCGCGAGGGGGUGCUAAUCCCAUCAAAGCCGGUCUCAGUUCGGAUUGCAGGCUGAAACCCGCCUGCAUGAAGCUGGAAUCGCUAGUAACGGUAAGUCAGCACAUUACCGUGAAUACGUUCCCGGGUCUUGUACACACCGCCCGUCAAACCAUGAAAGUCGCCAAUGCCUGACGUCCUAGCUUGUCUAGGCCUAAGGUAGGGGAGAUGAUUGGGGUU